rnacentral:rRNA from 1 species
GAUGAACGCUGGCGGCGUGCCUAAUACAUGCAAGUCGAGCGAACGGUCGAGAAGCUUGCUCCUCUGAUGUUAGCGGCGGACGGGUGAGUAACACGGGGACAACCUACCUAUACGACUGGGAUAACUUCGGGAAACCGGAGCUAAUACCGGAUGAUAUUUUGAACCGCAUGGGUCAAAAGUGAGAGACGGUCUUGCGGUCACUUAUAGAUGGAUCCGCGCUGCAUUAGCUAGUUGGUAAGGUAGCGGCUUACCAAGGCAACGAUGCAUAGCCGCCCUGAGAGGGUGAUCGGCCACACUGGAACUGAGACACGGUCCAGACUCCUACGGGAGGCAGCGGUAGGGAAUCUUCCGCAAUGGGCGAGAGCCUGACGGAGCACCGCCGCGUGAGGGAUGAAGGUCUUCGGAUCGUAAAACUCUGUUAUUAGGGAAGAACAUAUGUGUAAGUAACUGUGCACAUCUUGACGGUACCUAAUCAGAAAGCCACGGCUAACUCCGUG